UGGCAGGUGUGUCCAAAGGCAUCUGUGU
rnacentral:piRNA from 1 species